GUGAUAGGUUUAGCGGUUUCCUGAUUAUUUUGAAUUUCUUUUGUUGAUAUGCAGAUAGUUUUUAAUAUGCUUUUAAAGAGCUUGACUUCGGUAGCUCAACAAUUUCCAAAUCCGAGAAACCUUGUUCGACACGGUGGACGCACUAGAAGUUCUAAUGGUACAGUCCAUGAUCUAUGAUGUGAACUUACAAACCUGAAGUGGGGUUUCGUGCCGUUGUCUUCUAUCAAGUCAAACUAGUAGUAUCGGAGGCAUUACUGCAGUGAAAGAAAGUUCAGUUGUGAUUUAUAUGUUUGUGUCCCACCUUAAUCGGCUUUGUAAGCUAUGAUGAGAAUUUAGUUAUUUAUCCAAACCUAUACUAGCACCAUGAGUGAGUCAAUUAAUCUGUUGACGAAAUAUUCUUAGACAGACUAAGUCUAUUCAAUUGAUGAGAAAUUUAUGAUAGACUAAGUCUAUCUAA
rnacentral:lncRNA from 1 species